GUUAGGAAUAUUGGACAAUGGGCGCAAGCCUGAUCCAGCCAUGCCGCGUGAGUGAUGAAGGCCUUCGGGUUGUAAAGCUCUUUAGCCGAUGAUUAUAAUGACUGUAGUCGGAAAAUAAGCCCCGGCUAACUUCGUGCCAGCAGCCGCGGUAAUACGAAGGGGGCGAGCGUUAUUCGGAAUCACUGGGCGUAAAGCGUGCGUAGGCGGCUUUGCAAGUUGGGAGUGAAAGCCCAGGGCUCAACCCUGGAAUUGCUCUCAAAACUGCAAGGCUCGAAUUCGGGAGAGGAUAGCGGAAUUGUCAGUGUAGCAGUGAAAUGCGUAGAUAUUGACAGGAACACCAGUGGCGUAAGCGGCUAUCUGGACCGAUAUUGACGCUGAGGCACGAAAGCGUGGGGAUCAAACAGGAUUAGAUACCCGGGUAGUCC
rnacentral:rRNA from 1 species